UGGAAAUAGCAAUUACUAGCAUUUUGCAAGGUUUUCCGCAAAAGAAAUUUUUGUUGUCAUUUGUUCCUGACGGAGCAAAGCUUCAUGGUUCAGAACUUUCUUUCGUUUAAUUUACAGGGACCACGAGGCUAGAGCCUGUUCGUGCAGCAGCAAUAAUGCUCUUACAGGAAAUUGAUGCACGGAUUCAACUCCUUUUGUUGCUUUGUACAGCCAGAGAAAAAGGAGGAAUCAUGAGAAAGAAGCACCCCAACUAAGAGGGCAAGUUUGGAGACAUGUUUCAGAUACAGGGCUGCACAGAAGAAAGAAUAGAGGAAGAAACCAAAAAUCAAAAGAAUCUAUUUUAUAGCCAGGGAUUGGUAUGGUUUCUGAAGUAGCAGCAGCUGGGUUAAUGCUAAUUGUGAUGAUGGCUGUUUAGGCAGUUGAAAAUGGAUCAUCACAUGAUCUGCUCAUACUGUUAAGUGCCGGGUGAUUAUUUAGUUGAUUAUGGAGAUUGACAUCUUAUUCUAUCCUUUUUGUCACUGCAAUCUCUCGUUGCUUCCUUGUAAUGGAUCAGAUCCUACUCUUCCUAAUAUUCUUGGUAAUCUCUCCAUCUUUUCAAUCUACUCUUUUCGCGACAUAAUUCGAAGUUUUGUUUUGCUCGUUCCAGCUAUCUUGAAAAGCUAGCCUCUUCUCAUGGCACCUGAGUUCUUUCUUUAUUCAGUUAGGAAAUUUUGUACACCAACACAACCUAAAUCACCAUUAAUAACAAUCUCACUUUUGACGCAGCAGAGGAGAUAGGGUCUGUAUAUUGUACCAUUCUACAGCGAGAAUGGGUCAGUUGAAAGAACUGUUGAGAGCAGUAAAUCCUUGGAGUGCACAAGCAACCAUCAUCGAUCCUAUUUCUCUAUGCAACCAGUCUUUUAACGAGCAGCUACGCAAAAUUUUCAAAACUUUGCAGCUCUUGCAACUCCAGCUCCCUGUGGACAAAGCUAGUAACUUCCUCCAACCCUCCAUGUUCUGCUUGUCCUUCGGCAUAGAUGGUUACUGCAGGGUAAGAUUAUUGUCAUUGCAAAAAGCCGCAACUGGGAGAAAUUGCUUAUAAUGUUCGAAUAUACGGUAUUAUGCUGGCCUCGGACAGGUAGUUCAACGUAUUACGUAAUUUUAAAGAAUUAUUAUUGCGGGUUACAAGUAUCAUCAUAGUAUGUUAAGACUACCACUAUUGUAAGAGAUUUAUGUUAGUACACGGUGGGACGGAAGUAUUUUUUUUUGUGGUAAUUGAUAUAUGUAAGUUCUCGUGUUGGAAGUUGUUUCUGUAGCGGACUGAUAACAUUAAAUCGAUAAUUGAGUUGUGUUACAAUGUAAUUUUA